rnacentral:rRNA from 1 species
AUUGAACGCUGGCGGCAUGCCUUACACAUGCAAGUCGAACGGUAACAGGUCUUCGGAUGCUGACGAGUGGCGAACGGGUGAGUAAUACAUCGGAACGUGCCUAGUAGUGGGGGAUAACUACUCGAAAGAGUGGCUAAUACCGCAUGAGAUCUACGGAUGAAAGCAGGGGAUCGCAAGACCUUGUGCUACUAGAGCGGCCGAUGGCAGAUUAGGUAGUUGGUGGGAUAAAAGCUUACCAAGCCGACGAUCUGUAGCUGGUCUGAGAGGACGAUCGGCCACACUGGGACUGAGACACGGCCCAGGCUCCUACGGGAGGCAGCAGUGGGGAAUUUUGGACAAUGGGCGCAAGCCUGAUCCAGCAAUGCCGCGUGCAGGAUGAAGGCCUUCGGGUUGUAAACUGCUUUUGUACGGAACGAAAAGCCCUGGGUUAAUACCCUGGGGUCAUGACGGUACCGUAAGAAUAAGCACCGGCUAACUACGUGCCAGCAGCCGCAGUAAAAC